rnacentral:pre_miRNA from 1 species
CCUUAUUAUCAGUUGAAGCUGCCAGCAUGAUCUGAGCUUUCUCUCUUUCUCCACCCAUUCUCGAUCUUUCGCUCGAGAAAGAUUAGAUCAUGUGGUAGCUUCACCUGUUGACGAG